rnacentral:sRNA from 1 species
CAUGCCCCUUAUACGCUGGGCUACACACGUGCUACAAUGGGUAGAACAGAGAGUCGCAAAGCCGCGAGGUGGAGCUAAUCUCAGAAAACUAUUCUUAGUUCGGAUUGUACUCUGCAACUCGAGUACAUGAAGUUGGAAUCGCUAGUAAUCGCGAAUCAGCAAUGUCGCGGUGAAUACGUUCUCGGGUCUUGUACACACCGCCCGUCACACCACGAGAGUUGGUUGCACCUGAAGUAGCAGGCCUAACCGUAAGGAGGGAUGCUCCGAGGGUGUGAUUAGCGAUUGGGGUGAAGUCGUAACAAGGUAUCCGUACGGGAACGUGCGGAUGGAUCACCUCCUUUCUAAGGAGUAUAAGUCUUUCUCUAUUCUAUUGGUAAUGUUCUUUACAUUACUUCUGAACAUUGGAAACUAUAUAGUAGAACAAACAAGAAAAAAAUUAACUCUAACAAUUUCUUAGAGUUAGCUGUCAAAAAAUAGAUUAAAAUAAUUAAGGGCACACAAAGGAUGCCUAGGUAGUAAGAGCCGAUGAAGGACGUGGUAAGCUGCGAUAAGCCUAG